CAAAGAUUAAGCCAUGCAUGUCUAAGCAUAAACCGAAUAUGGUAAAGCCGCGAAUGGCUCAUUACAACAGCCAUAGUUUAUUGGAUCUUAGAGUCCUACUUGGAUACCUGUGGUAAUUCUAGAGCUAAUACACGCAAUCAAGCCUCAACCUUACGGGCGGGGCGCAUUUAUUAGAACAAAACCAAUUGGCUUCGGCCAUAGAUUGGUGAAUCUGAAUAACUACGCUGAUCGCACGGGCUUGUCCCGGCGACGUAUCCUUCAAGUGUCUGCCUUAUCAACUUUCGAUGGUAGUUUAUAUGACUACCAUGGUUGUAACGGGUAACGGAGAAUAAGGGUUCGACUCCGGAGAGGGAGCCUGAGAAACGGCUACCACAUCCAAGGAAGGCAGCAGGCGCGCAAAUUACCCACUCUCAGAACGAGGAGGUAGUGACGAAAAAUAACGAGACAGUUCUCUAUGAGGUCUGUCAUCGGAAUGGGUACAAUCUAAACCCUU
rnacentral:rRNA from 1 species